rfam:Stegodyphus mimosarum contig74315, whole genome shotgun sequence.
GCCUUCGUGGUGUAGUGGUCAGCACGCUCGACGCGUAACCGAGAGGUCCGUGGUUCGAUUCCCGGGGAAGGCG